GAAAUCAACAACUUGCCUCUCCACCACUGGCAACAGGCCCAGGGGCUGGGCUCACCUGCCGCUGCUGCAGUUGCUGUUGCUGCUCCAUUUGCAACUUCUCAGUCUCAAAGACAACAGGAAGAACCAGGAUCAUGAAGGAAGUCGUCCCAAUCCACAAGGCUGCCCUGGAAAACCUGCAGAGGGAGUGUGAGCAUGAAAGCGAGACACAAAAACGGGCCCGCUUCACCAAGGAACCAGUAACCAAACCUCUCACGCGCCCAUGUUUUUGACAGGCGUGUUUCUACCCAACCCUUGCACCAUACUCCUACCAGAAACAGGACGAGCAGUUCUGCCGGCCGUUUAUCUCGUGCCAGCAGUUCCAACAUUCUCCUGAGUUCUUACAAAGCUACUUAUACAGCAUAUUAAUUACCUCACAUAAUGCGAAACGAUCCUCCCAACAACCCCGACCCGUAAGAACUGCCACUUUAGGGAAAGGAAAUGGAGACCAAGAAAGGUUAAGGUACCCACCAGCCCAAGGUCACUCAGUGGUCUAGGUGGCGGGCCAACUCCCGUUUGCUACUUCCAAAUCCCAUGCUCAUUCGCGGCACUUCAGUCACCCCAGGCACGCCCCAAUAUCUUUGCCCUCGUCCCUUACCUGUACAUUUUCUGAGCCACAAAGAGGGAGAGAUCAAAAGUCGCUCCAGCCGCGGACCGGACCCUCUCUGGGAACAUCUCCGUCAGACCCCACAGUCUCUCCGACAGGGUCUCAUCUAGCUGUGGUGGAGGCGGCGCGGGUCUUGACCGAAGCAACGGCAACCACCCCCUGGGGCUAGGGCACCCUGCCGCGGCCCAGUGGGGGCCCUAACCCCGCCUCCCGGAGAAGACACCUCCCCCCGACCUCUCCGGGCUCCGCGACGCGCCUUCGUCCGAAUCCCGCAGCACGCGGAGCUCACACCCCCGAGCCGGUCGCUCCCCGCCCGUAACUUCGCACCCCGCCCCACACCGCAGGGCCCCAGUACCUCCUCGUCGUCUUCCUCCUCCAGCUCCUCCUCAGUCUUCUCGGAAUCGCCUUUCGGAAGCAAUUCGUCCGGGGACAGAGGCGCCCCAGGACCGCCGGCGGCGGCGGCGGCGGCGGCGGCGGCCAUGGCUGCAGGGAGACACCGGAAGCGGAAGAGAGGAGGCAAGUGCAGCAUCUCUGGCGGACAGAGGUGCUCUUCCGGGAGCUGGAGGCUGAAGUGCUGCGGAAGAACGACGCCUUCUGGCCGGCGGACUUCGGCUUUCUGCCAAGAACUCAAGGUUUCCUCCUGAAGCCAACUGGAACCAGUCAGGACACUGACCUCCCUUCCCUUAGAGCCCAACAAAAUGCAGUUAACCCUCCCUUACUUCAUAACUUCCUUUAUCUAAUUUUGAGUCACGUAACUCCUCUCCCCUUUACUCAGACCCUUUUCCACUUGUUAAAAAUCCCUGGCUCUCCUGCUUCAGGGAGGCGAACUUGAGGCUUGUCUUCCUGGCUCCUCAUUUGGCUGCAAGAAUAAACUCUUGCCUUGCUGCACCCUUGA